AUUGAACGCUGGCGGCAGGCCUAACACAUGCAAGUCGAGCGGAUGAAGGGAGCUUGCUCCUGGAUUCAGCGGCGGACGGGAGAGUAAUGCCUAGGAAUCUGCCUGGUAGUGGGGGAUAACGUCCGGAAACGGGCGCUAAUACCGCAUACGUCCUGAGGGAGAAAGUGGGGGAUCUUCGGACCUCACGCUAUCAUAUGAGCCUAGGUCGGACUAGCUAGUUGGUGGGGUAAAGGCUUACCAAGGCGACGAUCCGUAACUGGUCUGAGAGGAUGAUGAGUCACAGUGGAACUGAGAGACGGUCCAGACUCCUACGGGAGGCAGAAGUGGGGAAUAUUGGACAAUGGGCGAAAUCCUGAUCCAGCCAUGCCGCGUGUGUGAAGAAGGUCUUCGGAUUGUAAAGCACUUUAAGUUGGGAGGAAGGGCAGUAAGUUAAUACCUUGCUGUUUUGACGUUACCAACAGAAUAAGCACCGGCUAACUUCGUG
rnacentral:rRNA from 1 species